UUCUCUGAAGAACUACUGAGCGGGAGGAGACAGACAGGUGACUGAAGCAUCUGUCAGGAUGACUGAACGUCGAUGAAGCGGUGCAGCAGGAGGAAGAGGAGGAAGAGGAGGAUCCACCAGGACUGAUGGCUCAGAGACGACCAAAGUGGCAUUUCGUUACCAUCAGCAUCGCUCAGCGUUGAGGUUUGCAAAGCAGCAGGACAUGCAGGUUUCAGGUAGAAGAUGCCAGGAGCACAACUACAUACCUUGAGGUGUAUAUCAUCGGCGCCCUCCACCCCCUUCUGGUUUAAUAUGACCGUACAGCUCUCCCUUAUUCAGGUGAUGUUGUGUCAGUGGAUGUCGUUGUCUGCAGCCUGACCGAUGCUUCUGGGGUUUGAUGCAGAGG